rnacentral:rRNA from 1 species
AUGGAGACCCUGGGCGUGCUGCUGUUGCACCCCGUGAACGCCUACCUGGAGCAGGAGCUCGACCGCCGCUUCCGCCUCAUCCGCCUUUGGGACGCCCCUCCCGACGGCAGCGCCGAGUUCCUCCGCGCCAACGCCUCCGCCAUCCGCGCCGUCGUUGCCUACCCCGGCUACAGCGCCCUCGCCGCGCUCAUCGACGCGCUGCCGUCGCUCGAGAUCGUCCUGUCCUUCUCCGUGGGGAUCGACCACGUCGACCUCCCCAAGUGCCGCGAGCGCGGGAUCCGCGUCACCAACACCCCCGACGUCCUCACCGACGACGUCGCCGACCUCGCCGUCGGCCUCGCCGUCGCCGCGCUACGGAGAAUCCCGCAGGCCGACCGCUUCGUGCGCGCCGGCCUGUGGAAGGCCAAGGGGGACUACGCACUCACCACGCGAUUCAGUGGCAAAAGAGUGGGCAUUAUUGGGCUGGGCAGGAUAGGGCUUGCCAUUGCCACUCGAGUGGAGGCCUUUGAUUGCCCAGUUAACUACUACCAGAGAACAAAGAAGGACUACCCCAGUUACACCUAUUACCCUUCUGUAGUUGGAUUGGCAGCAAGCAGCGACGUCCUCGUGGUGGCUUGCUCAUUGAAUGAACAGACUCGCCACAUUGUCAACCGUGAGGUGAUCGAGGCACUCGGACCCAAGGGUGUGCUCAUAAACAUCGGGCGUGGCCCUCAUGUUGAUGAGCCUGAGCUUGUCUCUGCCCUCAUUGAGGGGCGCCUUGGUGGGGCAGGCCUCGAUGUGUUUGAGGAUGAGCCCAAUGUGCCCGAGUCCCUCUUCACACUUGACAAUGUUGUCCUGGUAUCACACAUGGGGAGCGGGACACACGAGACGCGCAAGGCGAUGGCGGACCUGGUUCUCGAUAACCUGGAGGCGCAUGUUCUGAAGAAACCACUGCUGACACCUGUUAUCUGA